rnacentral:lncRNA from 1 species
GUUUUUUUUAAAGAUUUUAUUUUUUCCAUUUUUCUCCCCAAAGCCCCCCGGUACAUAGUUGUAUAUUCUUUGUUGUGGGUCCUUCUAGUUGUGGCAUGUGGGACGCCGCCUCAGCGUGGUCCGAUGAGCAGUGCCAUGUCCGCACCCAGGACUCGAACCAACGAAACACUGGGCCACCUGCAGCGGAGCGCGCGAACUUAACCACUCGGCCACGGGGCCAGCCCCUUAAAAGCAGCAUUUUGAUGUUACUUGAAACGAGUGCUAAAAUAUCAGUAUUGUCAUUUUGCUGUGAUACUGGCAAAAGUGCAUCUUGCCAGGAUGGAGCCACCAGAUUACCCUCAAUAAGAGAUGUGAUCUCAUAAUUGCAUGGAAUUAUGUCUGAGACAUCGGAUGUCCCGUGCCUGCGCUCUACCUGCUCCUCUGGAGAGAAGUUAGAAUUCUUCCUUCUUUCAGACAACUGGUUCUUCAAUGACGCUGACAAAGUGGAUGGUCGGGAACCACACACUCUGGAGCCGAUUCCAAGAUGGUGGACACGAGGACUGAUGGACUGGUGGAUACAGACGGGCAGGCAGAGAGAGGAGUCCGAGGUUGCUUAAUUGGGGGCACCCUGCACUGGAAACAUGAGUUCUGAUAGGAUGGUGCAGAGUACGGUACUUCAACGGUGCAUCCAAGAGAAAGGAACUGAAAACAAUCCCGUGGUCUUCACUAUUCUGCAGCCAGUUUUGAACUCUGGGGGGAAGAGAAAACGUCCCCACUGAAAGACAGCCAUGAUGAAGCAGAAGAGUGGUGAUGGUGAUAGCAAGAAAUGACAGGAGUGAUAGCGAGCACCACAAAGCAUGAUGUCAAUGCAGAAACCGGGAAGCAUGCAGUGAGAGACAGGGCAACGUGGCAAAGAAGGAGGCUGGGAAAUGACUCUAACGGCCCCUCGACAGUUUAUUUGAAUGGAUGAACAUUGAGGACGUUAUGCUAAGUGAAAUAAGCCAGCCACGAAAAGACAAAGACUAUAUGAUUCCACUUACAGGAGGUACUUAGAGUAGUCCAAUUCCUAGAAAUAAAAGGCAGAAUGGUGGUUGCCAAGGG